UACGUAGGCAGCAAGCGUUGUUCGGAGUUACUGGGCGUAAAGGGUGUGUAGGCGGUUGUUUUAAGUUUGGUGUGAAAUCUCCCGGCUCAACUGGGAGGGUGCGCCGAAUACUGAAUGACUAGAGUGCGGGAGAGGUGAGUGGAAUUCCUGGUGUAGCGGUGAAAUGCGUAGAUAUCAGGAGGAACACCGGUGGUGUAGACGGCUCUCUGGACCGUAACUGACGCUGAGACACGAAAGCGUGGGUAGCAAACAGG
rnacentral:rRNA from 1 species